CACCGCGGUUAUACGAGAGGCUCAAGUUGACGGACCACGGCGUAAAGCGUGGUUAGGGAAAAACAAAAACUAAAGCCGAACGGCCUCUAGGUUGUUACACGCUUCCGAAGGUACGAAGCCCAAUCACGAAAGUAGCUUUAAUCCUCACCUGACUCCACGAAAGCUGAGAAA
rnacentral:rRNA from 2 species